rnacentral:rRNA from 1 species
UGACCUCGAAUCAGGUAGAA